rnacentral:rRNA from 1 species
GAUGAACGCUGGCGGCGUGCUUAACACAUGCAAGUCGAACGGGAAACCUUUUAUUUAAGCUUCGGCAGAUUUAGCUGGUUUCUAGUGGCGGACGGGUGAGUAACGCGUGGGUAACCUGCCUUAUACAGGGGGAUAACAACCAGAAAUGGUUGCUAAUACCGCAUAAGCGCACAGGACCGCAUGGUCCGGUGUGAAAAACUCCGGUGGUAUAAGAUGGACCCGCGUUGGAUUAGCUAGUUGGCAGGGUAACGGCCUACCAAGGCGACGAUCCAUAGCCGGCCUGAGAGGGUGAACGGCCACAUUGGGACUGAGACACGGCCCAGACUCCUACGGGAGGCAGCAGUGGGGAAUAUUGCACAAUGGGGGAAAACCUGAUGCAGCGACGCCGCGUGAAGGAAGAAGUAUCUCGGUAUGUAAACUUCUAUCAGCAGGGAAGAUAGUGACGGUACCUGACUAAGAAGCCCCGGCUAACUACGUG